AUUGAACGCUGGCGGCAGGCCUAACACAUGCAAGUCGAACGAGUGGCGGACGGGUGAGUAAUGUCUGGGAACCUGCCCGAUGGAGGGGGAUACCUACUGGCAACGGUAGCUAAUACCGCAUACCAUCGGAUGUGCCCAGAUGGGAUUAGCUAGUAGGGGGGGUAACGGCUCACCUAGGCGACGACCCCUAGCUGGUCUGAGAGGAUGACAAGCCAAACGGGAAGUGAGACAAGGACCAGAUUCCUACGGGAGGCAGCAGUGGGGAAUAGUGCACAAUGGACGAAAGCCUGAUGCAGCCAUGACGCGUGUAUGAGGAAGGCCUUAGGGUUGUAAAGUACUUUCAGCGAGGAGGCGUUACUCGCAGAAGAAGCACCGGAUAACUCCGUGCCAGCAGCCGCGGUAAUAC
rnacentral:rRNA from 1 species